rnacentral:lncRNA from 1 species
UCCUCCCCACCUCGGUCUUGCGGCCUCUCCAGGGCUCAGGCACAGAGUCCCACAGCCUCCCUGGAGCCCGACCUCUUCAGUGGGUCCAGGUCCAGCAGGUCCACCAUGGCGUCAACCCUGAAAGAGGAAGCAGCUGAGCUGGACGCACACCACACCUUGGGGCCCUGGGAACGCCACACCGCUCUGCAGACAGCCCUGCCAGAUGCAGCCACCAAGGCCCUGUGUCAGCCUUUGCUUCCUCUUAAUAUGAAACUAUUUCUAACAUGCAUUUCUCCCAUAGAACCAAACUGCCCAGGGCCCCAGAGGGGAAGAUGUCUCAGCAGACGGACAGCCGAGGCUCACAUGGCAAGCUCUGGCAGCCUGUCGGUCCCAGGAGAGAGGGGGAGGUGAGUGAACUGAGGGAGGGCCAGGUGACAGGUCACAAACAAUGAAACUUCCUCUGGGCACAGCAGAGGUUGGUUUUGUUUUGGGGGUGAUGUGGCGCGGCACUGUUGCUUGGGGAAUAUUUGGUUUUUGUCUUAUUUUGUGGGGGUCGUGGAGCAGUGCUGCUGUUCUAAGGAUGUUUGGUGUCUGUCGUAUUUUGUGGGGGUUGUGGAGCAGUGCUGUUUUUCUGGGAGUUAUUUGGCUUCUGUCUUAUUUUGUGGGGUUGUAGAGCGGCGCUAUUAUUCUGGAAAUGUUUGGUUUCUGUCUUAUUUUGUGGGGGUCGUGGAGCAGUGCUGCUGUUCUAAGGAUGUUUGGUGUCUGUCGUAUUUUGUGGGGGUUGUGGAGCAGCGCUGUUUUUCUGGGAGUAUUUGGCUUCUGUCUUAUUUUGUGGGGUUGUAGAGCGGCGCUAUUAUUCUGGAAAUGUUUGGUUUCUGUCUUAUUUUGUGGGGGUCGUGGAGCAGUGCUGCUGUUCUAAGGAUGUUUGGUGUCUGUCGUAUUUUGUGGGGGUUGUGGAGCAGCGCUGUUUUUCUGGGAGUAUUUGGCUUCUGUCUUAUUUUGUGGGGUUGUAGAGCGGCGCUAUUAUUCUGGAAAUGUUUGGUUUCUGUCUUAUUUUGCUUCGCCCAGCCUCGGCCUGCUGUGUUUAUGGUUAAAAUAACUCUGUGGGCAAACCCGAGUCUCCAGCUCUCAUCCGCUGUCCCCUGGGCUCCCUCACUUCCUUUCAUCCACAGCGCCCACUGCAAGUGAUAUUCUUAUAAUACACUGAGCAACUAUUUUAGUAACACAGAAACUUUCUGGGGAUAUGACCCACUUUAAACAGUUAUCUAGGGAGAGGGAAGAAAGUGAUUUCGCUCCAGGCCUGGGCAUCUCCUUUCACCCACAUUUCAUUUUGCUUAAUCCC